rnacentral:rRNA from 1 species
GUAUGAUGGCCACACGAGGGCUUUACUGUCUCUUACUUCCAAUCCGUGAAAUUGACCUUCCCGUGAAGAGGCGGGAAUAUAACAAUAAGACGAGAAGACCCUAUGGAGCUUUAAUUAACCGACCCAAAGAGAUCUUGAUAAUCAACCGACAGGGAUAACAUACUCUACCAUGGGCCGACAAUUUAGGUUGGGGUGACCUCGGAGAAUAAAACAACCUCCGAGUGAUUUAAAUCUAGACUAACUAGUCGAAAGUACUACAUCACUUAUUGAUCCAAAAACUUGAUCAACGGAACAAGUUACCCUAGGGAUAACAGCGCAAUCCUAUUUUAGAGUCCAUAUCGACAAUAGGGUUUACGACCUCGAUG